UACAGAGGGGGCAAGCGUUGUUCGGAAUUACUGGGCGUAAAGGGCGCGUAGGCGGCCUUCUAAGUCGAACGUGAAAUCCCUGGGCUCAACCCAGGAACUGCGUCCGAUACUGGAAGGCUUGAAUCCGGGAGAGGGAUGCGGAAUUCCAGGUGUAGCGGUGAAAUGCGUAGAUAUCGGGAAGAACACCCGUGGCUAAGGCGGCUCUCUAGUACGGUACUGACGCUGAGACGCGAAAGCGUGGGGAGCGAACAGG
rnacentral:rRNA from 1 species